AAUGCCCUGUAAAAUAUCAAUUUGUUAUGGAAAACAAGUUGAAAAGCGGCGAUUGUUAGAACUAUCGAUAGACGAAAAGGAGAAGGAAAUCACAUAAGGAUUGGAGUACAUAAUAAAAGAUCUAAUUGGAGCGUUGGUAUAUUUGCAAGAUCUCAUUCAUUCGCUUUAAUUGGCACCAAUUUAGUUGGCCAAAAAUAAUAUCGAUAUAUUCCAACUCGAUAGACAUGCAAAAUAGAAUGGCAUGUGAAAAGUGUUUGUAUAUGGUCACUCUUAAACAUUGUGACAAUUUCGUUUAAUUUUUCAAUAGUGAAGUAAAGAUCAAAACGAAUUGAAAAUAUAUGAUGGCGAAUAAUUUAAUAAAAAGUUUAAAAUACCCGAUUAUCCAUGCGUAAUCCGCGAGGGUAUGCACGUUGAAUGACUGAGAUAGCGAUAAUCGGAGAGAACCAUAAUAACAGAUGUUUUCCGUAUCAGCUGACGAAAACAUGUGCAUUGUGAUGAGCUACUAUUCCAGGCAAUGGCGUCGGUGUAGCUGCACGCCAUUCACCGACCGCAACUUGAAGCUAACCCUUGGACAUGGCUGACGUCCCAACUUCAUCUCGAACAUGGCGAACUUCUGGUCAAUGUAGUUAGGCGCACUCGUCGAGGAUGGCGAACUCUGUACGGGGGCUCGAAUUAGCAGGGAUCAUGUUGCAACGCAACUGCAAGUUAAAGACAUGCAUAUUAAUUAUAGUUCGUAUUCCUCACAUCUAGCGCAUCUUAUCUUCUGUGAAGGUGUGCAUAAUGAUACGUAUCGAAUCGAUGCCACCGGUAGACAGCGACUCUUUGACCUAUGCUUGAGUUCGUUUAGAUUCUGCAACCUUAACGGAAUCUCGUUUAUCUGAUUGAACAGCCGUUGCUGGACGUUCUCAUGCUGUGAGAUGUCGCUUGUGGUUGUGUCUUGGCCCUCGAACAUGUAUGUGUCUUCGGGUAUAUCUUCUCUAUGGUGCUCCGUUUACCCUGGACUGCAGCAGCGUAUCAAGCAUAUGUGUCUUUUGCUGCUAGGCCUUGACGAGUGUCUCACGUCGUGAAUGACUAACUGCAAUACACACAACCAUAACUCUGCGUGGAAGCAGGCGAGGAUUGCACAAUCUCUACUCAAGUUCACCAGCGAAUAGCUGUGCAGGCAGCGGGUUAAAAGUCCGUGAUUCAGUCAGUUCAAUUUGAUAUAUGUAUGAUCUCUGAUUCCAAGGCUUAAGCUAGCAAUUGUCAAUGAAUCCUUUCCCAGGUGAAAGAGUAUCCAAAGUUUGAUAACCACUGGAGUAACGAAAUCACUUUGUAUGAAUAUUAUAUUAAAAAAAAAAAGAAAUAUGAUACACUAAAGCCAAGCCCAGUUAUGGUAGAGACAUCUAUACUAUGUACAGUUAGAGUAAAGAUAUAUGAAUAAAGCUAAAAUCAAUCAA